rnacentral:rRNA from 1 species
AAAACAUUUCUUUAUGAAUAUAAUUAUAAGUACCCUCUGCCCUAUGAUUAUUAAAUGGCUGCAGUAUUUUGACUGUACAAAGGUAGCAUAAUAAAUUGGUUUUUAAAUAGAAUCUUGAAUGAAGGAGGUAAUGAAUUAUAAACUUUAUUAGAAUAAUAGAAUGAAUUUAAAUUUAAAGUUAAAAUUCUUUAAUAAAUUUAUGGGACGAGAAGACCCUAUAGAAUUUUAUUAAAUUUUUAAUUAUUUGUUAAUUAAUUUAUAAUUAAUAAUUUAAUUUGUUUGGGAGGAAUAUUAAAUUUAUAAACUUUAUUUAAUUAUAUACAAAAAUAAUUGGAAGUAUAGAUUUUUAUUUAAAAUAUGAGAUUAAAUUACCUUAGGGAUAACAGCGUAAUAUUUUUGGAAAGAUCUUAUUAAUAAAAAUGUUU